rnacentral:rRNA from 1 species
AUAUCAAUAAGCGGAGGAAAAGAAACCAACAGGGAUUGCCUCAGUAACGGCGAGUGAAGCGGCAAAAGCUCAAAUUUGAAAUCUGGUUGUUUUUUGCAGCCCGAGUUGUAAUUUGAAGAGCAUAACCUUGAGCACUUGAUUCUGUCUAUGUUUCUUGGAACAGGACGUCACAGAGGGUGAGAAUCCCGUGAGGUGGGAUUAAGUGUUUUUGUAGGUUUUGUUCGACGAGUCGAGUUGUUUGGGAAUGCAGCUCUAAGUGGGUGGUAAAUUCCAUCUAAAGCUAAAUAUUGGCGAGAGACCGAUAGCGAACAAGUACAGUGAUGGAAAGAUGAAAAGAACUUUGAAAAGAGAGUGAAAAAGUACGUGAAAUUGUUGAAAGGGAAGGACAUUAGAUGAGACUUGGCGAUUUAGGCACAUCCUCCUCUUGUAGGGGGUGCACUCCUGAAUUUUUGCUGGGCCAGCAUCGAUUUGUGCGGUGGGAUAAUACUUCUUGAAUGUGGCUGUUCGCAGUGUUUAUAGCUUGAAGAGAUACUGCCAGUAUGGAUCGAGGACUGCGUCAUUUUAUGACUAGGAUGCUGGCGUAAUGAUCUAAUGUCGCCCGUCUUGAAACACGGACCAAGGAGUCUAACGUCUAUGCGAGUGUUUGGGUGUGAAACCCGUACGCGUAAUGAAAGUGAAUGUAGAUGGGAGUGUUGUCAAAGGCACGCACCAUCGACCGAUCCUGAUGUUUUCAGAUGGAUUUGAGUAAGAGCAUAGCUGUUGGGACCCGAAAGAUGGUGAACUAUGCCUGAAUAGGGUGAAGCCAGAGGAAACUCUGGUGGAGGCUCGUAGCGGUUCUGACGUGCAAAUCGAUCGUCGAAUUUGGGUAUAGGGGCGAAAGACUAAUCGAACCAUCUAGUAGCUGGUUCCUGCC